GAUGAACGCUAGCGGCAGGCCUAACACAUGCAAGUCGAGGGAGAAGCCCUUUCGGGGGCCGAAACCGGCGCACGGGUGCGUAACGCGUAUGCAACCUACCUUUCACAGGGGGAUAGCCCGAAGAAAUUUGGAUUAAUACCCCAUAAUAUUAUUGGAUGGCAUCAUUUGAUAAUUAAAACUGCGGUGGUGAAAGAUGGGCAUGCGUCCUAUUAGCUAGUUGGAGUGGUAACGGCACCCCAAGGCUACGAUAGGUAGGGGUCCUGAGAGGGAGAUCCCCCACACUGGUACUGAGACAGGGACCAGACGCCUACGGGAGGCAGCAGUGAGGAAUAUUGGUCAAUGGUCGGAAGACUGAACCAGCCAUGCCGCGUGCAGGAAGAAUGCCUUAUGGGUUGUAAACUGCUUUUAUAUGGGAAGAAUAAGGCGUACGUGUACGUUGAUGACGGUACCAUAUGAAUAAGCAUCGGCUAACUCCGUG
rnacentral:rRNA from 1 species